GAUGAAGAACGCAGCGAAACGCGAUAAGUAAUGUGAAUUGCAGAAUUUAGUGAAUCAUCGAAUCUUUGAACGCACAUUGCGCCCUUUGGUAUUCCAAAGGGCAUGCCUGUUCGAGCGUCAUUUGUACCCUCAAGCUUUGCUUGGUGUUGGGCGUCUUGUCUCUAGCUUUGCUGGAGACUCGCCUUAAAGUAAUUGGCAGCCGGCCUACUGGUUUCGGAGCGCAGCACAAGUCGCACUCUCUAUCAGCAAAGGUCUAGCAUCCAUUAAGCCUUUUUUUUCAACUUUUGACCUCGGAUCAGGUAGGGAUACCCGCUGAACUUAAGCAUAUCAAUAAGCGGAGGA
rnacentral:misc_RNA from 1 species